AACCAAAAAAGGCCUAAAUCUUUUCCCCCUACAGCCGCCUUCCCAAGCUCCUCAUCCCCUCCACUCCCUCGACAAUGGUGGCGGCGGCGCCCUCUGGCGGCGGAGGAGGAGGGGGGAGAUGGUGGCGGCGGCGCCCUCUGGUGGCGGAGGAGGAGGGGGGAGAUGGUGGCGCGGCGGCGACCUUCCCCUCACGCAUCCCAUCCCCCCUCGUCAUCCCGGAUCUCACCGGACCCGAGGCGUGCGGGCGCGGCAGCGACCUGCAAGGGAAGGGCGACGCUCGAAUCGAUCCAGCCAUGGAUCGGUCCCUGCGGGAGAAAGAGAAAAUGAGGACCUCCGUGCUCAACAGGAGGAGCCGGGGUUGCUGAUCCGGCCGGCCCAGAUCCACACGCCUCCUCCUUCGGCCACCUCGCCCCACCAGCUUCCAGCGACGUGGAUCCGCCGAGGAUGGAGGGCAGCAAGUGAGAGGGAGCAGGAGAAGAGGUGAAUCGAGGGAGUGAAAGAAGGAUCUCACAGGGGAAGAGGAAGAAGGAGUCUAGCGGUGUAUCCUCGUCUCAUCCCUGGCUGCACCUCUUCUGAUGCCAUGGCACCAGUGGUGGCUCCUCGAUGGAGCACCUCCUUCCAUGACGGCACCACCAGCGGCUCUUGCUCGACGCCACGAUACACAACAUCGAGGCCACCCCUGAUGCUCAGGCUGAUGCUUCUUCGCUUGAUGCUGAAGAAAAGGAUGAUCAGAUUCAGACGCCCAAGAACAACAGGAACUCCGGUGGUUCAAAGCGAGUUGGGCCAGGGAAGAAAUCAAAGCAGUGACUGUCCUGCACUAACUGUGCAAGGAUCAAAAGCAUAUAGGUGUAGCAAUAAAUUCCCCUCUUAUGCUCAAGUUAAAUUUCUUCACUGAAGAUAUGGUAGGAAGUUACGUUUUGAGUUUGAUUCUUUAAACUAUAGGCCAAUUUGCAUAUUAAUCUCUUUACUUAUUUUCUUACUACAGUAGCACACUUGCCUAAAUCCCACAUAAGACUGAAUGGUACUCUGCCAUGGUGUUUAAUCUCAGUAAUGUGUCUUGUUUUAUUUUGUCCGCGGUGACUGGGGAUGUGUUCUCGGCUUUGCCGACAGUAAAAAGAAGGCAUACAAAACAUUAAAUUUUUGCCUUGGCUGAAUGCCGCAUUUAAUUGUCGCUUAUGUAUUCCAAGUUAUUCAAUUCUCACUGAGCUUUCCUUUGCUAAAGAAAUUUAAUACGCAAUAUUUUUAAUAUGUGAGGAGGCGAGAGAAGAAAAGAGGGGUUGUUAGGUCAGACUUUGGUGCGUCUCUGGUCAGAAAUGGCUGGAUCCGUCCGACGCUCUUCCAAACAGUGUAGUGUAGAUUUGCUGACCAGUACAACAUCUAAACCUUCACUACUCUAGCUUCUUCUUACAUUUCUUAGUAUCAACAAAUAAGGUGGUCACAAUAUAUACUUGAAGAUUGCAUCCCGAGCCAGCUCGGGCCGCUGCUACCUCUUCCUCGCCGCCCAACAGGCCGCCGUGCUGGGGGAGCAGGGUAGCAUCGGGUCCACAGGCACUCUAAAGCCGAGUAAAAUCCUUGCAUUCGUAUUAUUCACUUUCAGUAUGCAAACUUCUCUUUCCAAGUUUGAGAGAACAAGAAGCCAGCGUCGAGGAAGCCUUGGGGUGUGAAAAGCAUAGUAACAAUAUAUCUGGGCUGCGACGUAUAUUGUUAUGAAACUUUACUGUAAUUACGAUUUCCUAUUAUAGCUCAUAUGAAGAAUUAUUUGCUGCUUUUACAUUUGCUUAUUUUAUUAACUUUUACUAGGAUAUGAGUAGCAUUACUCAAAAUUUUGCUUUGAGAAGAAUCUAAUGAUGUAUCCAAUUUCACAUCCAAGCUACUAUGAAUAUUAUGAUUGAGCGACUGCUUGGCGAUGUCAUCGUCAGAGGCUCAGGCCUCCUCCCUGGACAAGGCACUCGUGCUAGGCGGAGGCGAUCUGUGCGCCGGUUCAAGAGGCGGUAAGACGGUCGCAAGAAUGCCAAGCUCUUCAGCUGUGGCAUCAUGCAAUAAUGGAAUUGAGCAUUCUGGGCAAAACAUAAAGGACAACGAAUAUGCAAGGUUGGUGACACCAGCUGAACAUGCAACAGCUGACAAGAAAUUUUGCCUGAGCAACCAAAGUUAAGACACUUCAUUUGGUGAAUGAAAGUUUUGCUUGGAUGCUUCCAUCUUAUAUUAGCAUCUUAUAUCUUCGUGAAAUUUGGAGCCCCUUUGCCUUUGAAAAUUGGUACUCUCUCUGCUGUGGCUGCGUGUUCGACCGGCCAGCCAAGGAUCUCCAGCAAGCAUGUGCUCCUACUCUCCUUGCCCUUAAUUCCUGCCACAACAGCAGCUCCUGUGUAGUGUGAGCCAGAGAACUACUACACUAAUCAUGUUCCUGGCCUAGCAUGUGACAGUGGUGCCGCGAGGAUUUGCUGCCGUGGGAGGAGGGGCCCGACCCAGAUGGCGGCCACCAGUAGGUCACACACUUAUUCAGCUCGCCGUCUGGUUACUCUGAUGGCUUCUCUAAGGUAUCUUCUCGUGCAGCUUCACUCUUGUUUGUGUGUCUUGUGUGAAAAAGUAAGCUACCUGGCACUUGCUCUACUCUGCUUUAGCAGGCGCUCGCAGAGGAGGCCAAGGGAUACAUGAUACUGGUAAUUUACUAAUGAUCCAUCUUAGUGGAAUGCUUUUGUUGUAGAUAUUUUCAUUGGUUGUCCUUCCAUUUUAUUUAUAUUCAUGGCUGGAUGGUGCCUUCCACUAUGCUUCUUCACUGAAAAGGUGUUUCACAUAUGUGUACUUGCUUGAGAAUGGAAUAAUCUCAGAAUUCUGUUGAAAACAAAACUUAGUUAUUUCAGCAUGCAUAGUGUUUGGCUAUAGAGAUUGAGUGCUUCACAUAUCCGAUGCCAUCUCAGAAUAAUCUCAGACCUGUUUAAAUAACUUAGUGUUUGGCUAAGGAGUCCGCAUUGAACGCCACAUAUCCGAUGCCAACACACCGAGGUUAUACUCCAAUCAAACAUGUGAAUAUUUACUUCAAGAUCGAUCCGACGAAAGCCGUCCACUGCCGCUCUGCUGUUGGGACUAAUUUGGACGGGAAUGGUGAUUUCAUGGUGAUUAUGAUUACUUGGUUGUUGCUCUUGGAGUUACUGUGAAUACAUUCAACACUCCUGGUGUGAUGGGGCAUUGCCACUUUCUGAAGGUCAAAUCCUUAUUGGCAUUGUGUGUCUCUUUACUGUUCUGCUAUUUCUCAUGUUUCAAUCCUAAGAUGUCGUGGAGGAUGCCCGAAAGAUUCGGAAGAGCGUGGUAGACUGCUUUGAAAAGGGUCACCUCCUAACCUCAGUGAAGAGGAGAGAAGGAAGAUGUUCUGAGGAAUAUCAAGAUUAAGUCUCCGAUUCAUAUUUCGUCGACCAAUCCUUCACUUUGUGAUUAUCGGUGGUGGACCUACUGGGGUUGAAUUUGCGGUGGAGUUGCAUGAUUUUCUUGUCGAAGAUCUGGUGAAGCUAUAUCCUGCAAUUGAAGAAUUUGUGAAGAUAACAAUUAUGCAAUCAGGAGAACAUAUAAUGAGGGUUGAAUGUUCCUGCAGUAAUAACCUUAGUUUUGGGCAAGAUGAUCAAGGAGUAGCGAAACUUUAGCAGUCAUCUUUGGCUUCACCAUCUUCCUCCCCUGAUCUUGCAUCUAUUCUAGAUCAUAUAAUUAUGCUAUAUCAUAUAUAUUGUUUAGUUCAGACUUGUGCAUGUGCGUGCAUUGGCAUUGAUUUAUAGAGAUAUUGCAUGAUUUGUACAUAAAAGGAGUACGGAUGAUCUAAGAAUAAAUGUUCGAAUAAAGUUAGUAGUGAGAUUUAGGUAGAGGUUACCUGCACUGUUCUGUUUUAUGUAGAUUCUAAGCUGCAAAAUCAUACAUGGCCCUGUUAGUAGUUUGUCUGA